AUUAUUGGAGUAAUAAGUGAUGUUGGUCCAUACGAUUAUGCUAGCCCAACAUCUCAGAACAAACUUCGGAAGAUAAAAAUUUGAAACCUAGAUGAACAAACGCAAGAAGUAGUUCUAUGGGGCAAACAUGGAGAAUCAUUUGAUGAAGAAACAAUACUUAAAAAAAUCUCUAGAAGGAAUUGUGGUAGCUAUUUUUGCUGGUAUAACUGCAAAUUCACAGAAGUUUACAGGUACAAUACAAGGAUCUUCAAGUUCUGCAACUCAGGUGUAUCUUGACCUCAAUAUACCUGAAGUUCAAUAGUAUCGCAGCAG